rnacentral:rRNA from 1 species
UACAGAGGUCCCGAGCGUUGUUCGGAUUCACUGGGCGUAAAGGGUGCGUAGGUGGCUUGGAAAGUUUGAUGUGAAAGCUCAGGGCUUAACCCUGAAAUGGCAUUGAAUACUGCCGGGCUGGAGGUUUGGAGGGGGGACUGGAAUUCUUGGUGUAGCAGUGAAAUGCGUAGAUAUCAAGAGGAACACCAGUGGCGAAGGCGAGUCCCUGGACAACAACUGACACUGAGGCACGAAAGCUAGGGGAGCAAACAGG